CCUACGGGUGGCAGCAGUGGGGAAUAUUGCACAAUGGGGGGAACCCUGAUGCAGCGACGCCGCGUGGGUGAAGGAGUAUUUCGGUAUGUAAAGUCCUAUCAGCAGGGAAGAACAAUGACUGUACCUGACUAAGAAGCACCGCCUAAAUACGUGCCAGCAGCCGCGGUAAUACGUAGGGCGCAAGCGUUAUCCGGAUUUAUGGGGUGUAAAGGGAGCGCAGGUGGCGCGAUAAGCUUGGUGUGAAAGCCCGCGGCCCAACCGCGGGACUCCAUUGGAAACUGGCGCGCUGGAGUGCCGGAGAGGUAGGCGGAAUUCCUAGUGUAGCGGUGAAAUGCGUAGAUAUUAGGAGGAACACCAGUGGCGAAGGCGGCCUACUGGACGGUGACUGACGCUGAGGCUCGAAAGCGUGGGGAGCAAACAGGAUUAGAUACCCGUGUAGUC
rnacentral:rRNA from 1 species